rnacentral:rRNA from 1 species
UACGGGGGGGGCAAGCGUUGUUCGGAAUUACUGGGCGUAAAGGGCUCGUAGGCGGCCAACUAAGUCAGACGUGAAAUCCCUCGGCUUAACCGGGGAACUGCGUCUGAUACUGGAUGGCUUGAAUCCGGGAGAGGGAUGCGGAAUUCCAGGUGUAGCGGUGAAAUGCGUAGAUAUCUGGAGGAACACCGGUGGCGAAGGCGGCAUCCUGGACCGGCAUUGACGCUGAGGAGCGAAAGCCAGGGGAGCAAACGGG